rnacentral:rRNA from 1 species
GAUGAACGCUGGCGGCGUGCUUAACACAUGCAAGUCGAACGAAGCAUUUAAGACAGAUUACUUCGGUUUGAAGUCUUUUAUGACUGAGUGGCGGACGGGUGAGUAACGCGUGGGUAACCUGCCUCAUACAGGGGGAUAGCAGCUGGAAACGGCUGGUAAUACCGCAUAAGCGCACAGUACCACAUGGUACAGUGUGAAAAACUCCGGUGGUAUGAGAUGGACCCGCGUCUGAUUAGCUUGUUGGCGGGGUAACGGCCCACCAAGGCGACGAUCAGUAGCCGACCUGAGAGGGUGACCGGCCACAUUGGGACUGAGACACGGCCCAGACUCCUACGGGAGGCAGCAGUGGGGAAUAUUGCACAAUGGAGGAAACUCUGAUGCAGCGACGCCGUGUGAGUGAAGAAGUAGUUCGCUAUGUAAAGCUCUAUCAGCAGGGAAGAUAGUGACGGUACCUGACUAAGAAGCUCCGGCUAAAUACGUG